CCUACGGUGGGCUGCAGUGAGGAAUCUUGGUCAAUGGGCGCGAGCCUGAACCAGCCAAGUCGCGUGAGGGAAGACGGUCCUAUGGAUUGUAAACCUCUUUUGUCGGGGAGCAAAAGACGCCACGCGUGGCGUUCCGAGAGUACCCGAAGAAAAAGCAUCGGCUAACUCCGUGCCAGCAGCCGCGGGAAUACGGAGGAUGCGAGCGUUAUCCGGAUUUAUUUGGUUUAAAGGGUGCGCAGGAGGAAGAUCAAGUCAGCGGUAAAAUUGCGAGGUUCAACCUCUUCGAGCCGUUGAAACUGUUUUUGUUGAGUGAGUGAGAAGUAUGCUGAAUGCGUGGUGUAGCGGUGAGAUGCAUAGAUAUCACGCAGAACUCCGAUUGCGAAGGCAGCAUACCGGCGCUCAACUGACGCUCAUGCACGAAAGUGUGGGUAUCGAACAGGAUUAGAUACCCGUGUAGUC
rnacentral:rRNA from 1 species